UACGUAGGGUGCGAGCGUUGUCCGGAAUUAUUGGGCGUAAAGAGCUCGUAGGCGGCUUGUCGCGUCGGAUGUGAAAGCCCGGGGCUUAACUCCGGGUCUGCAUUCAAUACGGGCAGGCUAGAGUUCGGUAGGGGAGAUCGGAAUUCCUGGUGUAGCGGUGAAAUGCGCAGAUAUCAGGAGGAACACCGGUGGCGAAGGCGGAUCUCUGGGCCGAUACUGACGCUGAGAGACGAAAGCUAGGGGAGCGAAUGGG
rnacentral:rRNA from 1 species